AAUUUUGUUAAUAAAAUCAUUUUUUAAGUAAUAAGUUUUUGUAUAGGUUAUAGAUAAAAUUUUAUUAGUGGUAGUUUAAUUGUAUUGUGAAAGAUGAUUGAAAUAUUUGAAAAUUUAUCUUUUGAAAAGUAGGUUUAAUUUACCGUACCUUGUGUAUCAGGGUUUAUCAAAAAGUUUGUAAUGAUUUACAUGUCCCGAUUUAAAGAGAGCUAAGUAUUUUUGUUAGUUAAUGUAGAAUAAUUAUUAAUUAAAAAUAUUUAGAAAUGAAACGUUAUCCGUUCUUUAAGAUAUCUGGUUUUUCAAGAAAUGAAUUUAAUUCAGUUAUUAGAUUUUAUUGGGUUGAUUAAUUAAUUUGAUAUAAUCUAAUAAAAAUAUUUAGGGGGAUAAGCUUCUAAGUAUAAAUUUAUAAAGUUUAAUUUUAAUUAAUAUUUUGUAGGCUUAGAAUUAGCCAUCAAUUAGAGGAUGUUAUAAUUUAUUUUUGAUUAAAUAUGAUUUUGUAAAAUAUUUAAAUUUUUUAUUGAAAUGUAAUUUUGAAUUAAUUAAAGUUAGUAAUAAUGAUGAAAUUAGUAUAAUAUGUUGUUAGUAUUUAUUUAAAUGUUAGGUUACAUUAAGGAAUUCGGCAAAUUAAUGCUCGCCUGUUUAACAAAAACAUGUCCUCAUGAAAAUAAUUUGAGGUCUGACCUGCCCACUGAAUUGUUAGGAUUUGAAGGGCCGCGGUAUUUUGACCGUGCAAAGGUAGCAUAAUCAUUAGUCUUUUAAUUGGAGGCUGGAAUGAAUGGUUGGACGAGGCAUUGACUGUCUCAAUGUAAAUGUUAUUAGAAUUUAACUUUUAGGUCAAAAGGCUUAAAUAUAUUUAAAGGACGAGAAGACCCUAUAGAGCUUUAUAUUGAAUGAUUAUUUUUAAUUUAGAUGAUUUUUAGAGAUAGUUAAUAAAAUAUUUUGUUGGGGUGACAGGAAGAUAAAAUAAACUCUUUUUAAUUUUAAACAUUAAUUUAUGAUUGGUUGAUCCAUUAUUAGUGAUUAUAAGACUAAGUUACCUUAGGGAUAACAGCGUAAUCUUUUUUGAGAGUUCAUAUCGACAAAAAGGGUUGCGACCUCGAUGUUGGAUUAAGGGUAAUUUUGGGUGUAGAUGUUCAAAGUUUAGGUCUGUUCGACCUUUAGAUCCUUACAUGAUCUGAGUUCAGACCGGCGUAAGCCAGGUCGGUUUCUAUCCUUAAUUAAUAAUGAUAUUUUAGUACGAAAGGACCAAAUAUUGGGAAUAAUAUUUCUUUAUAAAUUGAUUGAUAGUAAUG
rnacentral:rRNA from 1 species